GAUGAACGCUGGCGGCGUGCCUAAUACAUGCAAGUCGAGCGAACAGACGAGGAGCUUGCUCCUCUGACGUUAGCGGCGGACGGGUGAGUAACACGUGGAUAACCUACAUAUAAGACUGGGAUAACUUCGGGAAACCGGAGCUAAUACCGGAUAAUAUAUUGAACCGCAUGGUUCAAUAGUGAAAGACGGUUUUGCUGUCACUUAUAGAUGGAUCCGCGCCGCAUUAGCUAGUUGGUAAGGUAACGGCUUACCAAGGCAACGAUGCGUAGCCGACCUGAGAGGGUGAUCGGCCACACUGGAACUGAGACACGGUCCAGACUCCUACGGGAGGCAGCAGUAGGGAAUCUUCCACAAUGGGCGAAAGCCUGACGGAGCAACGCCGCGUGAGUGAUGAAGGUCUUCGGAUCGUAAAACUCUGUUAUUAGGGAAGAACAAAUGUGUAAGUAACUAUGCACGUCUUGACGGUACCUAAACAGAAAGCCACGGCUAACUACGUG
rnacentral:rRNA from 1 species